GAUUAGAUACCCCGGUAGUCCACGCCCUAAACGUUGUGCACUAGAUCGUAGCGGCUCUGACGUCGUUGCGGUCGCAGAGAAAUCAUUAAGUGCACCGCCUGGGGAGUACGG
rnacentral:rRNA from 1 species